UACGGAGGAUGCGAGCGUUAUCCGGAUUUAUUGGGUUUAAAGGGUGCGCAGGCGGCGAGUUAAGUCAGCGGUAAAAUUUCGGGGCUCAACCCCGACAGGCCGUUGAAACUGGCUUGCUAGAGUGGGCGAGAAGUAUGCGGAAUGCGUGGUGUAGCGGUGAAAUGCAUAGAUAUCACGCAGAACUCCGAUUGCGAAGGCAGCAUACCGGCGCCCAACUGACGCUCAGGCACGAAAGCGUGGGUAUCGAACAGG
rnacentral:rRNA from 1 species